UACGUAGGGGGCAAGCGUUGUUCGGAAUUACUGGGCGUAAAGGGCGCGUAGGCGGCCCACUAAGUCAGACGUGAAAUCCCCCGGCUUAACCUGGGAACUGCGUCUGAUACUGGAGGGCUUGAGUAUGGGAGAGGGAUGUAGAAUUCCAGGUGUAGCGGUGAAAUGCGUAGAUAUCUGGAGGAAUACCGGUGGCGAAGGCGGCAUCCUGGACCAUUACUGACGCUGAGGCGCGAAAGCUAGGGGAGCAAACGGG
rnacentral:rRNA from 1 species